UACGUAGGAGGCAAGCGUUGUCCGGAAUUACUGGGCGGUAAAGCGCGUGUAGGUGGUGGGACAAGUCUGCUGUGAAAGCGCCUGGCUUAACCGGGCGAGGUCGGCGGAAACUGUUCGACUCGAGGACGGUAGAGGGGGGUGGAAUUCCCGGUGUAGUGGUGAAAUGCGUAGAGAUCGGGAGGAACACCUGUGGCGAAGGCGGCCCCCUGGGCCGAAACGUGACGCUGAGGAGCGAAAGCGUGGGG
rnacentral:rRNA from 1 species